AUAUCUCUCUGUACGGGAAGGAUGAGAAGGUUCGAUUCGAGCGUCAGCGAGAAAGCGUUGCCGCAGGCAACGACCCGAAGGGCGAAGCGCGCAGCGCUGAGUCAUCCUUCCCCCACCACCA
rnacentral:sRNA from 13 species